UGAGGUGGGCUAGAUCGACUGCUCCAUCCCCGUGUCCCCUUGAUCCUCUUCGUGCUCCCAUUCGUUCCUCGCACGAACCCUAUCCGUCGUCCCAUCCCCGCAUCCCUAGCUCCACCCCUCUCGCCGACGGUGCCGUCCACGUCCACGCGCCUCUGCCAUCUCCUUCCUUCUCCCGGCUAGCCGCCUCCAUAUCCUCUCUGUCGCCGUCCAACCCAGAUGCGGCCGCAGUCCGCCGGUGCCACAGGCGGAGGAGAGUAGAGAGGCGUCGCGGGUCAAUGGCGCUAGGUGCGUCGGUGCCACGCCGCUCGACUUGCCGCAACGGCACCAACACCUUUGUGCUAAUUACGUGCGGCAAGGUCCCCGACACGACGGCCGCCAUGGUGGACUUCCGUGCCAACCUCGCGGACUACGCGCAGUGGUUCCUGUUUGGCUGCUCGUGCACGGUGUACGCCAGCGCCAAGCUCAGUGGCGCGCCAUGGACCAGCACACUCGAGGUCCUCUGUGUGUUCCCCAACUUCAGCCGGGACCUAUAUGUGCGCCUUGCCGCUUCCCAUCUCGGAGGGUCACGGCCAAUGCUCUCCUCGAUCUAACUACACGACCAGCCAAAUGAUACGCCGUGGAUUCACUGUCCAGUUUGUCAGUCUGGGUUCAUAAGGACAUAUUGAUGGAAAAUUCUUAUGAUUCUGUAGCUGCGUAUGAAGUUCCACAUACAUGAAUCUCCACUCAUCUGGUUGAGACCCACCACUGAUGACACGAGUCUGCUACCCUGCUCCUAUGAAGGUAACCGAAGGCCUGCACCUCCCACCGUGGUAUCCUCUCUCUUCUUGCACCUCUUCAUGUGAGCUCCUCCUCCCAAUUUAUUCUUACCACCAUUUGGGUUGUUUGAUUCAAGGUUCUUUUUCUAAAAUUAAAUCAAGUCUCAAGGCAUGAGAUGGAAGCAUUGUUCAGGACAUUUGCCUACCGUGUGUCUCUAUAAGUGGUUUUUUCAGUUCUGACAAAAUAAGAAAAUACGUCAUGUGUCUCUCUAUAUGAUUAUUCCAUAUCAAGACAAAAUAAGAGUAUAUCAGAUGUACUUAAUGGUUAUAAAUAGGACUUUUACCAAUAUCUAAAUUAACCGAUGGAAUUUAUAUUGCACUGGAGCGAGAUAUCUGAAUGCCGUCAAUAAUUUUUAGUGUUUCUUACACAAUUAAGAAGAAAACUUAACAUUUACCUAUGAUGGAAUAUAGAAUCAAGAGCUAGAAAGUAAACAGUUGGAAAUCAUAAAUCAAUGGUAGAUAGAAUCACAAGUAAUUAAAAUAACCAGGUGUUAUUUCUUUUCUUAUAGUACUGGAAGUUUUCUUAUUGCCAUGCAUCUUCAUACACAGAUGUGAUGUUUUCCAAUUGAAAGGUAGCAAUGUCUAAAGUUAAAUGGUUUCUAAGUUCCCAUGAUCUAAUUGGUGUUCUAUGCAGAACAACGCUUUUGGGUUUUGGGUAAUCUCUCAAUGGUUUCUAAAUGGUAAUCUUGCCUGACCACUGACUUAUCGAGUUCUGUCUUAAAGAGCAUCUCCAUGCAAAUAUAUAACAUGAUGAUUUGGAUAUCUUAUGGGUAUGAUGAUUUAGUUUUUUUAUAUGAGCAUAUGAGGUGUGUGUAUUUAUUCGAGCAAGUAUGGCAUAUAUCUGUUUCUUUGGAUAAUUAAAUAGGAGAAUAACUUGAACUCAAGCAGCUUUGUGGCAUUUGCCUACUGUUUAAAUUGUUUACAUUCAGAUUGGUUUCCUGAUUUCUAUUACACAAUUGAUCUUUGCAUUCCGUUUGGCUUUGUCUGUUGUAUAUAGCUGUGAGCUUUGUUUACAUUUACUUAUUAGGUUUCUUAGGGUCAUCGUCCAUUACUGCUGCCACCGCUCCUUUGGUUCUUGGUCAUUGCUCUGACAAAUGUCUCCUUCCCAGAUAAUUUUCUUCUUCCUUUUGUUAUUAUUAUGCGAGUUGUCAUUGUUUUUUACAUUAUAUGCUAUAUUCCAUGUUCCUUUGGCUUGGAUAAUCCGUCUUUGAUUCAUCGUCCAGUACUAAUGCCGCUGCUCCUUUGGUUCUUGGUCACAUUUAUGCUGUCAUUGUUUUUACAUAAUGUAUUCCUCAAGUUUAUAACUAAACUGAUAGAUUUUGUCUACUACCUAUUAGGUAUGCUAUGCAAAAUAAGUUUUCAAGUAACUACACCCAAGCAUCAGUGAUGAAGUUGAUAAUUUUCAUUUUAUCUCAGGAUUCCUCCGUUCGCAUUUAUCUCCUUUUAUGGUCAGUGGUGAAGAGGGUUAUAUUCCUAACUAUGUAGAGAUCAUUAAGGGAGUCAAGCUGCUUCUCAGAAGUGUUGGGACUAUGAGAUCAUUAAGGGGCAUUGAGCUGCUGCCCAAAGAUAUACUUACUUCAUUGCUUAUAUAUUCCAACCACAGGUUGACUAUAUUUAUUGUGAGAAUCUCAUUCUUUAUAUCAUGUUGGAUCAUCGAUCUUGGAAUUUGUAGAGCCAUUUACCAUCGAAGGAUGUACUCACAGAACACAAUCAGUGUAAUUGUGCUUUUCUACACUUCUGUCCAGAGCAAUGGUAUAUGUAUUCUGUAUUGUACGGCUAUCC